UUCCUCCCCUAACCUCAACUCUUUUGUCUAUUGUGAACAAAUGGAACAGGAGGAAGUUAACACUGGGAGCCCAGGGGAUGCACAAUGAUGAAGAUGGACCUAGCAAGAAGAGUGAGAGCAGUCUGUAAACUUUUCCAUUUCAUUCUUUCAUUUUUCAAAUAUUAGGUGACACAUAAGUCCUUCACUUCUGUUAAGAGAGUGAAUAGAAAUUUAUGCUGAAGAUUCUCAGAAUUAGCUGAAUUAGCCAAAAGUAAUACUUGAAUUUCUAAUGAAAGAAUAGCAUUGUACUAUUAUAUAUUUAUUUAAAUCAAAUAGCAUUUUGAAAAGAGAUUAAGAUUAUGUUCAAUGAUCAUGAAUGCUUAAGUAAAACUGUAUUAGAAGCAAGUCAGUAGUGUACUGACAGUAUUUUGGAGGAAUUCUUCUGCAGUCUUUCUAAACUGAUUGAUUUGUGUAAAUAAAAUGUAUUUAAAACAGCAUACAUUAGAAAAAUGGAUUAUGGAGAUUCAUGGAUCAAGCAAAUUCUGCAAAAGCUUUUUCACCCAUCGCAUGUUGCAGCACUUUAUCAGCUGUAUGUCUGGAAUUCCGCUAGUUCUGAACUAUUCGUGAUUGGUAAAAGUUCACUACUAGCAGAACUCGGAUUUACACCUGAAUGCCAACGGAAGCCCAGGCUCAUGUCACAGUCUGGUCUUCAAUGAAAUGACAUUCGUCAUCUGGUAUUUCCCUUUUCAGCUUUUUAUGCAUUUCUUUAGGCCUGAAAUGUACACUUAAUAAAACUGAACAGGCUUUGCUGAUGAAAAUGAUGUUAAAUUAACAAGACAAUGUUUGUUUAACCUGUGCAUUGUUUUUUUAUCAUCAUUUUUGUUUUUUUGUUUUUUUUUGUUAUUUGGUAAAAAUUUUAUAUUUAGCUUGAUUAGUUUAGCAUGGUUCGUUACAGCACCAUGAAGUUAUUUUGCUAAUUUCUGCCUUCUUUUCUGCAGCAGCUUUUUCAUCUGAAAGAAAUGGAACAUUUGUAUUUAUUUACAGCGCUGGAAAUAAGACUUCAAUCUGCAACCAAAGGGAAUGUUGAGUGAAGGAUGGUGAUCCAGAGCUUUAGUGCCUCAGUUAUAAAGUAUAAAGGGAAAGCCACUGGGCCUUGGGUCCAUGCCAAAGACCUUGGUCAACUAACAAUCUGUUGCGCAUCUUGGAACGUGAAGCCAGUGUCCAGAUCACCAGAACAAAUAUGCCAUGAAGAGCUAUGUUGUUGGAAGUAGUAAAUGAAGUUGGAAGUAGUAAAUGAUGCCAGCCUUUUCCCCAAAUGUACUAAUUUUGUAAUCACUGGCAAAAUAGCAUUUUUCAAAGUAGUUUCAGGAAUUUGUUUUUUAUAGAUAAUGCAGAUGAUACUUAUUAAAUCUGUUAAACUCCAUCUAAGGAAAUGCACACAAACUUUGCAAAGACACAUUCACACCACAUUUUCUUUCAUACUUUGCCUUUAUUGUAAAUGUUUUUUUUUUUUUUUCAUAAAACCAUGCACUUGUACUAUAUUUUGAAACAAUGUCAUUACAAGUAAAAAUGAAA